UAGUAGCCGUCCUAUGGUUAUAAGGUAGUGUGAUGGUCAGCUUUCAUUGUCAGUUUGACGCAACCUUGAAUGACCUGGGAAAACCUCAAUGUGUAAUAGUCUACUUCAAGUUGGCCUGUGGGCAUGUCUGGGGUAGGAGAGGAUGACUAUUAAGUUAAGUGAUGUGGGAAGACCCAGCCCACGUGGUGGAAGGCAUCGUUCCUGAGGCAGGACGUCCUGAACUGUGUAAGAGUAGAGAAGCUGAGUUGAGCGUAGGCGAGCGAGGGAGCAAGCGGGCAUGCAUCCCUUGCUCUCUGCUGUUGACUGUGAUGUCACGCAGCCAAUAGCCCUAAGCUCUCCUACUCUCGGCUUCCCUCUAACCGUGGUCUGUAAUCUGGAACUGUAAGCCGAAGCCAGCCCUCCGCCUUCUUUCUAAUUUGCUUUUUGUCCGGAUGUUUCAUGACGGCCGCAGAAAUGAAACCAGAACAGGUUGCGUUUCACGGUGGCGUUGAUUUGCAUUUCCUGGUGUUGGUACCCUUCUUGGAGGCCUGAAGAUGGUGUUCCCUAAUGGUCGAGUUACAGAUAAUUGAGCCUCGAGGAUACAUCAGCUGUGGGAAACAGAGAAUGCCUGUGUCACUCCUGUGUCGUGAUGGUGAAACUGAGGCACAAAGCCUUCUGGGGAUGUGAAUGGGCAUCAACACUAGAGUCAAGGUGAGAAACAGGAAAAUGCUAGCAGGAAUAUUUGCUGGAAUCACAGACUCCUGCAGCUUCCCAAGGAUUUCCUCUUUCAAAUGGAGAUGAAACUCCUCCUACCCUCUUCAGCCCUGAAGCAAACUGGUCAGUAAGCAUCUACAGGCUUUCUUCAGCACUGGGUAAAUGAGUUCUGGGUGGUUCCUCCUGAGAGCCCUCCUCCUCGGGCAGUUGUUCUAAUGGUCAGGCUACCUGUGCCACACCACUUUUAAUAAAACAUCUUGCCUUAUCCUGUGCAAACAGGCACAGUCGGCAGCGAACUUCACAUCGUGGUGUCAUUUAGAAAAGCAAAUAACAGAUUUUUUUUUCCUUCAA
rnacentral:sRNA from 1 species